AUCGAACGCUGGCGGAAUGCUUUACACAUGCAAGUCGAACGGCAGCACGGGGCAACCUGGUGGCGAGUGGCGAACGGGUGAGUAAUACAUCGGAACGUGCCCAAUCGUGGGGGAUAACGUAGCGAAAGUUACGCUAAUACCGCAUACGAUCUACGGAUGAAAGCGGGGGAUCGCAAGACCUCGCGCGAAUGGAGCGGCCGAUGUCAGAUUAGGUAGUUGGUGGGGUAAAGGCUCACCAAGCCAACGAUCUGUAGCUGGUCUGAGAGGACGACCAGCCACACUGGAACUGAGACACGGUCCAGACUCCUACGGGAGGCAGCAGUGGGGAAUUUUGGACAAUGGGCGCAAGCCUGAUCCAGCCAUUCCGCGUGCAGGAUGAAGGCCUU
rnacentral:rRNA from 1 species